rnacentral:lncRNA from 1 species
UUAUUUUGAGCAUGUCCCCGGCGUGAUGAAAUCACGGCCUGUGUGCUCAGCCCAAGUAACUUCUCCAUCAGCACCAGCACCAUUCUCACAGGUCACGGGAGGCUUUCAUGGCAACUGGAAGCUGUGAUGAACUCCUAACGGGUUUUGAUGUCGGCAACCCAGACUCAAAAAAAAAAAUCAGGAUGAAAGAUUUCCACAGAUGGGCGUGGAGCGGUGAAGAGGCUUCUGAGACGGAGGGAGAGGACAAACCAGCAGGCUGGGUCCAGGUGUCCUGGCUCCGACCUUACCCCCUCCCCGGACCUCACUUAUUCUUACGGCAAGCAUGACGGGGGAACCAUGAAGAUCCAGCAGGAAAACACCCAGUUUCUGUAUCCAAAGGCCUUUCCUGUUUUGGUAAGCCAGCUGGGCCAACACUCCCUAAACAAGGCCAAAUUCCACCUUUGUGCAGCUCUGCGGGGGUGGCCUGCCAAUGCCACCGAGGCCCCACACCUCCUCCCUGGCCUCUCCAGGGGCCCCUCCUGCCCUGCCCAGGGAGGACAUGGGGCUGGUGAGGGAGUUCAGUGUCUUCACCAGGAGUCUCCUGUGACUGUGGGCCCGGGAGACGUCGGUGGCUGCGCAAGCCACCCUGGCCGGAGACCCUGUCCUUGACUCUAGUUGAGUCUUCAGCCUGUCACUGCCCCGUGGGCCCCGCCUGGCUCCCAGCAAGGCCUGGCCGCAUGCCCAGAGACAGGAUUAGGCGCUCUGGGGGCCAAACAUCCAAGGGCAGCUAAGCACACGGAUGUGAGAGAAACAUCUUGAUCACAGCAUUCUUCUGGCUGCUGGAAAGCACCGGGCCGUGCUGCUGCUUAAUCUUGCUGUAUUUCUCACACAGCCAUGGGGCUGUGGAAAGAGGGGAGGAAAGUGCAAAAAGCAAACAUCAGCCCCUGCAAAAAGAGAUUAAGAACAGACACGGCCCAGGCACGUGCCCGUGGCCCCGUGCUGCCCACAGCGACCAGCUGGGAGACCCGGGCACAGCCUUCCUGGGGGGCAGGAGUGACCCACAGGGUGAGUUCAGCGUAUGUGAUCAGCUCACCACCCAGCACCUGGGCCACCUCAUGAGGGAGAGGGGCUGCGGCAGCCUGGAGUCAAACUGCCUGUGGGUGUGGAAAUAGAAACUGCAAGGCAGAGACGCAAGUGGCUGGAGAUAGCGCCGGGAGCGGCCUACCGGUAGCUCAGCGAAGGCCCCUUGAUGUACUUCUCCUCAGCCGUCUUGUAGUCCACCUCGUCCACCGCAGAGAUCGCACAGAUGAUGGCCUGUGAGAGGGCACGGGGCUCAAUAGCAGCAGGCACUGCCCAACUGGCCCCAAGUGGCCUGCGGUUAAGAAGGCCGCAGGGAGCCUGGGUCACCAGGUUCCAGCCUCCAGACAUGGUCUAGCUCAUGGUUCAGAAGGUGCAAACCUAGUCCAUGAAUCCCUGCUUGUAAUGAUGUUUCUUAAUUAAAUCAGUACUAUCUUUCGGACUAGACACAAUAGCUCAGAUCACUAAAAGCAGAGAAGAAAAGGCAAGACCCAAACCCACAAGAGCAUUUCUCAAAAAUUUUAAGUUUUUUUUUUGGUGGCGGUUUUUUCUGGUACAGAGUCUCGCCCUGUCGCCCAGGCUGGAGCGCAAUGGCAUAAUCUCAGCUCACUGCAACCUCUGCCUCCCGGGUUCAGGUGAUUCUCCUGCCUCAGCCUCCCGAGUAGCUGGGAUUAUAGGUACGCGCCACCACGCCCAGCUAAUUUUUGUAUUUUUAGUAGAAACGGGGUUUCACCAUGUUGGCCAGGCUGGUCUCAAGCUCCUGGCCUCAUGAUCCACCUGCCUCGGCCUCCCAAAGUGCUGGAAUUACCGAUGCGAGCCACCACACCCGGCCUUAAGUUUAUUGUUAUAAAAAAAAAAGAGUAUCCUGAAUACACAAUACAUACCUGACAUUAAGAAAUCAUCCCUAUUUUUUACUUUUGUGAUUAUGGUAAACACAUUUUUAACAGAGUCCAUUCGGUUCAGAGCAGAGUCUCUCCCACUCGGCCCUGUGGACGUCGGGGCCAGACUGUUCUCUGAGGUGGGGCUGUCCUAGGCGCUGCAGGGUGCUGAGCAGCGUCCCUGCCCCAACCC